CUGUACUGUUAGUUUCAGAGGUACAAUUGUAGUGAUUCAUCAGUUGCCAACAAAACACACAGUGCUCAUUACUUCAGGUGCCCUCCUUAAUGCCCAUCACCCAAUUACUGAUUCCACAGCAAAGAAUUUGUCUUGAAAGUCAAGGUUUGGAGGUGCCUGGGUGGCUCAGUCAGGAGUCUGGGAGAGCUCCAGUGGACCUCUGAAGAUGCCACCCACUGCAGACAAGACUUCAGAACCAUUUGCCAUUUCCACCUGAGAGCAUCUUCUCUGCUCUCAAAUCACUCCCCUUCUUCCUCAUAUCUUAAGUUUUCACCAUAAAAUAUAGUUCUUCUCUUUUGCUUACUAACCUGAAAUCCUGUCAGUGAUUUUUCUGAAACACCUCUUGAACCUGUCACUUUUUUCUGUCCCCAUGGCCAUAGUCUUCCUAAUUCUGGCAUAUUUUUUUAAAACCCAUUUUCCCAUCUUGCUAUGUCAGUGAUUUUAGUCUAAAACUUAGCACUCCUACCCUACUCUGGGAUAAAUUCCAGGACCUUUCCCAUAGUGCUCUGGGUUCUUACCAUGUGGCCAAAUCCAGUCUCAGUCUUAAGUAUCAUUACCUGAUCUUG
rnacentral:lncRNA from 1 species